UCAGAACGAACGCUGGCGGCAUGCCUAACACAUGCAAGUCGAACGAAGUCUUCGGACUUAGUGGCGCACGGGUGCGUAACGCGUGGGAAUCUGCCCUUGGGUACGGAAUAACUCAGAGAAAUUUGUGCUAAUACCGUAUAAUGUCUUCGGACCAAAGAUUUAUCGCCCAAGGAUGAGCCCGCGUAAGAUUAGCUAGUUGGUGGGGUAAAAGCCUACCAAGGCGACGAUCUUUAGCUGGUCUGAGAGGAUGAUCAGCCACACUGGGGCUGAGACACGGCCCAGACUCCUACGGGAGGCAGCAGUGGGGAAUAUUGGACAAUGGGCGAAAGCCUGAUCCAGCAAUGCCGCGUGAGUGAUGAAGG
rnacentral:rRNA from 1 species